GAAGAGUCCCACCCAUUCACAAGUCGUCUGUCACGGAACAGGAAUCCUUUAUACGGAGUACCAUUUAGACUUGAAGAGACAACAAUUUUGUCCAUGCUGCAGAGUGGUGCGGCUCUUUAAGCAGCGGUUAGCUGCCAGGAGAUGUUAAGAACGUCGCGCUUCACCACUAGAGCUCGUCAAGGCUUUUGCACUGAUUUGUGAGUAGCAUCGCUGUGGUGCUCCUGUUCAUCGACGCUAGGUGUGAAAAGUCAGUGUCAUGACUGGAACUGAGACAGAGGAUGAUAUUCCAUUAGGUGAAAGGAAGACUGUCACAGAUUUCUGCUACCUCCUGGACAAAUCCAAACAACUCUUCAAUGGGCUACGCGACCUUCCUCAGUAUGGACACAAGCAGUGGCAAUCCUACUUUGGACGGACUUUUGAUGUCUACACUAAACUAUGGAAAUUUCAACAGCAGCACAGGCAGAUUCUGGACAGUCGAUAUGGCUUGAAGAGAUGGCAAAUUGGGGAAGUUGCAUCCAAAAUUGGACAGCUUUACUACCAUUAUUACCUUCGUACCUCGGAAACUAGUUACCUGAAUGAGGCGUUUUCAUUCUACUCAGCCAUCCGUCAGCGAUCCUACUAUUUUCAGGUCAACAAAGAGGACAGGCCAGAAUUAGUAGUGAAGAAGCUUCGAUAUUAUGCUCGCUACAUAGUUGUCUGUUUACUGCUGAACAAGAUGGACCUCGUCAAAGUUUUGGUUAAGGAGUUAUCUGAGGAAAUUGAAGAUUACACACAGCGAUUCAACACAGAAGAUCAGUUGGAGUGGAAUCUAGUUCUACAGGAAGUGGCAGCUUUUGUGGAGGCAGAUCCAGUGGUAGUACUGAAUGAUAACAAUUCUGUCGUCGUCUUCAGCAAUCGGAUGCUGGAAGGAAGUGCACCUCCAUUGGAACAAGGCAUGGUGGUUGGCCAGCUCAUCCUUGCAGAUGCAUUGAUCAUCGGCAACUGUAACAACCAGGUGAAGUUCAGUGAGUUAACCAUUGAUAUGUUUCGCAUGCUACAAGCUUUGGAGAGGGAACCUAUUAACCUAGCUACACAAACCUCCAAACAAGGAACACUGGAACCCAAUGAGAAGCCAGCUAAACGAGAAAACCCUCACAAGUAUUUGCUGUACAAGCCAACAUUCAGCCAACUUUUUACUUUUUUGUCUGCCUCUUUUAAGGAAUUGCCUGCCAACAGUGUUCUGCUUGUUUACCUAUCAGCAACUGGAAUAUUUCCUGCGGGACAUUCAGAUUAUGAAGGACCAUAUGAUUUUGGAGGAGUUCUCACAAAUACAAACCGAGAUGUGAUGAAUGGAGAGACCAUGCAGAAGAGGAAUCUGCUCCAGAAAGAAAUGCACUGCCUUCAUCCAGGGGAUUUAUUCCCUUUUACCCGGAAGCCACUUUUUGUCAUUGUGGAUUCUUCAAAUAGCACAGCCUACAAGAAUUUCACAAACCUGUUUGGCCAGCCUCUGGUGUGUCUGCUAUCACCUACGGUAUAUCCCAAAAGUGUACAAGAUCAGUCUCAGCGUGGGAGUCUCUUCACUCUGUUCCUCUACAGUCCACUCCUGGCUUUCUCCUCCAUGUGUGGCUUAAACAGUGUGCGACAAAGCCUCUGGGACAGAGCUCAAGAGUUUCUUUGCAAAGUAUACCGUGACAUUGGGCAGAUGAUAAGUAGAUCACGGACCAUAGAUCAAGCCUUUUUGCAAUUCUUUGGUGAUGAGUUCCUUCGACUGCUUCUGGUCCGCUUUGUCUUCUGCUCAGCUGCACUAAGACUGCAUAAACUGUUUCGGGAGUCUCGCAGCUUCCCUGAGUCAUAUCCUGAGCUGCCCAAACAGGACACAGUGGAGAGCAGCCUCUUACAGAAGCAUGUUUUGGAGCUGGCAACCAUGCUGGAUGUGCAGGGUCUGUUUUGGGAAGAUUCACUGGAGACAUACUAACAUUUUCACAAAGGGCAAAAUGGCACAUAUGUACAUACAUACUCAACUGCCAGAGGCCUCAAAGUUGUCCUCUUUUUUACAGGUGCGCUAGAUUCCCCCGCUCCCCCUACCUUGGACUUUCAGUGGAGAUACCUGAGGUCAACCUACCCCCGAACCUCUCACCCUUUCCUACUUCUGAAUGUGAGAUCUGGCUCAAAAAACUAGAACUAGGGUAUCCAGUUUAACACGGUGACCAAUAUGGUGACAUCAUUGAUUGGACACAUGCAGAACAGAAAAACCUUUACAUGAAUGAAACCCUUUAUUUGCAACCGGGCCGCCCUGGGCAGCUUCCCAUGUUGCCCAUAUCUAAAUGUACCACUGCAUCAGAGACCAGAGAGAAAUGUCACCUGUUGUCCUUCAGUGUUUUUUGAAUCCACACUGCAACAGUUCCGCAAAAACAACAAAAAAAUAAUACUUUUUCAUUUCUCUAGAAGAGUGCAACUUUUGCAUCUUCUUUUUUGACAGUAACAUGUCAUGUUACAGUGUGUUUCAUUCACCCUGACUGUGACAUAACAAGCUUACACCCUGAAGGAUAUGUUAGUCUACUAUUUUGUUAUUUUUCCUUCAUUGCUUAAAAAAAAGAUUGCUGUCAUUGUUAGAUGCAAUUGUCUUGCUGGCCAAAUACUGUCUAAAAAGAUCAUGGCAAUAUUUUGUAAUAUUGACAUGCCAAAUUAGGUACUUUGCUUGUGACUAAAGCAUAGAUAUGUUGAGUCAUGGCAUUCAGUCAGUGGUGAAAGGGUCUUCUCAUAAUACCCUGGGUUUUAAAAUGACCCAAAAGCUACAGCAUAUCAUUAUCAUUCCUCUGUUUCGUUGACAGUGCUUUUUAAAAAACAUUUGAGUGUAACUUUUGAAAAUGGCACUAUCCCAGCUAGAACUUCCAGAGCACUAGAUCUGGAAGAUCUAGAAAAUAGGUAGAAAAUAGCAUCUCUGUAGAUUGAGUUAGUCUUUUGUCUCACUGGUGUCAAAAUUGUAUUUCCCUGUGCAAUUUCACAAUUUCAUAAUUUAUUUUCAAACCACACACAAAUGGUUAUUGAUGAAAACGUUUACUUGUUAAGUAGUCAUGGGAACAAUGUUAAUAACAUUAACUAAAAUUAAUACAAUACUACAAUAUUAGUAUUGUAUUUUAAAUUGUAUAUAUUCUAAAGAAAAUGUUAAAUCACCCAGACUGCUUAGAUCUGGCAAUUAUAUGCUUUUGCAUUGGUUUAAAAGGAAUGCAGGUUUCUGACUAGUUAUCAUCAAUAGGCACAUUGUCCCUACCUUUUUUGAUUCACAGGCUGAGGGGUUUAAAGAUAACAGUGUCAAUCACCAAAUAUCCAUCAAAUAGUUCCAAUUUUUAAAGUUCAAGUUUCAAGCUUUGUUGGUCAUAUGUUAAAAGGAGGGUCAGCAGUACAAUGGAAAUGUUAGAUGAGAAGGACAGGUGAGGUCAACAGUAUUAUUACAGCAAAAAUUUUAUUUAAAUAAAAAGAAGAAUAGUAUAAAAAAGUCAACUACAAUACUGUACUGUUCAAGAACUAUAUACCUUCAAGAAUGCAAGUGUAAAACCAACUUUGACCCCUACACAGACAUUUCAACAAGUACGGGCCAAAAUUGCCAGGAAAUUGCUGAUUCCUCAUUUACAUACCUGCAUUCACAAUUAGCUCAAGACAAGGAAUCUAAAAAAAAAUGGUGUGGGGUUAAAUUAAAGGAAACUACAGUUUAGGAUUGAAUCAAAAAACUCCUGUUUGUUCAUGGUGACGAAGUAACAUGUCACCCAGUUCAUCAGUGUGGAUGGAUCAAUUGAGCUGAAUGGAGUUGGACAUACUCAAGAUUUGCUAAAAGGACAUUGGUGGUUAGGUCCUUAAUUGAAAUGUAUGGAUUAAAAAAAAAAAAAAACAGUGUCACCUGCCUCAUCCUUGAAAAAAAUUACAUUUUCACAAUUUAACCCCAAAUUUUAGAAUAGAUGAAAUCUAAACUUUCACUAGGUUAUAGAAAGCAAUUCACCAGAAAGAAAAGUUUCCUAUGAUUUUAUUUAUGCUCUAUAUUUUAUUAUGUUGCUAGGGAGUUUAUUUGUGGCUCCAGUAGGGGUGGCGGUGGUUCAGACUCACCAUUUUAGUGAUGCUGGUAGUGAAAGCAGCUCACAAUGAACUGCCCUUCAACAACAUUUUCAAAUAAUCAGCUUUUAAAGUUGAGUUUGAAUUGACAUGCAUGAUGAGAAAACCAAAUUUCUUUAGUAUUUAUUAUAUUUAGUGACAUUGUUGAGUAAUCAAAAUAUUGUGUAAAGAAUUUUUUGCCACUCAUGUGUUUGUUCAGAAUUUAGUAUUUCUAUAAAAUGUGUAGUGAUUCAUGGUGUUAAAAUGAAGGUGGAGCAAAAUGCUGAUGGGGCCAGAUUUUUCCCUGGCGAUUUUUCACAUUCCAAUUUUGAAGAACUAGAAGAGCAUUAAAGAGGUAUAAAUUCUGUUUCUUUUUUGAUUAUAUUCUACAUUUGUCUGGGAAAGUAAUACAUUUCUACUUUUUCCUUCAAUUCUAUUGUAAUAUGUUAUGACCAUUAAGAAAUUGUAGGCUUGCACUUUAUGAAGUUUAAUAUUGUUAUGAUCUUGUUUGUUGUGCUCUAUGGAAGAGAGAUUUAAUUCUUUCCAUGUUAUUGAUCUUCAUGCUAGCCCUUCACACUGGUGAGCUUAUACAAAGAAUAAAAGUUCUUUCAGUCAGUGAUAUCAAAGAUCUUCUUAAACAGCUCUUGCCUAUAAUGAAAUGAAAUAUUUUGUCUAAUAUCCAAACAGUAUUGUGAAAGCAGCAAUAUUAUGUUCAUUUACAUGGCCAAUUGUGCUCUAAAACAAUGGGGGCUUUGUGGACUUCAAUGCCAGUCUUGGUAUUUCAUAUCAAAGGAAUACCUUUUAACAUUUUGACAUAUUUGGGGUUCUAUAGGGAGACAAGAAUAAGUAAAGAAAUAAAUUAAUUUAAAUUGUUGAAAAUUGCAUGUUGUCAAGUUUGUAUGUUAAAGCUCAAAAGAUCAUAUUCAUAUGUUGCUACAUAUUAUUGUAUGUUCCAUGUUGUUGAAUCAAUGAAAAGAGAAAAGGGUGUGGUACAAAUAUGCAUCAUCUAAUGGAUAAUAACUCCAAAUACUAAAGUAACAAUGUACUUCAGUUAUAAUAGCAAGUAUUAACAGAAAAUAAAAACAUUUGCUGUGUU